UACGUAGGGGGCUAGCGUUGUCCGGAAUCAUUGGGCGUAAAGCGCGUGUAGGCGGUCCGGUAAGUCCGCUGUGAAAGUCGGGGGCUCAACCCUCGGAUGCCGGUGGAUACUGUCGGGCUUGAGUACGGAAGAGGCGAGUGGAAUUCCUGGUGUAGCGGUGAAAUGCGCAGAUAUCAGGAGGAACACCCGUAGCGAAGGCGGCACUCUGGGCCGGUACUGACGCUGAGGAGCGAAAGCGUGGGGAGCAAACAGG
rnacentral:rRNA from 1 species